rnacentral:rRNA from 1 species
UACGAGGGGGGCAAGCGUUGUUCGGAAUUAUUGGGCGUAAAGGGCGCGUAGGCGGUGCGGUAAGUCACCUGUGAAACCUCUAGGCUCAACCUAGAGCCUGCAGGCGAAACUGCCGUGCUUGAGGGUGGGAGAGGUGCGUGGAAUUCCCGGUGUGGCGGUGAAAUGCGUAGAUAUCGGGAGGAACACCUGUGGCGAAAGCGGCGCACUGGACCACUUCUGACGCUGAGGCGCGAAAGCUAGGGGAGCAAACAGG